UGCCAGACUCCUACGGGAGGCAGCAGUGAGGAAUAUUGGUCAAUGGUCGGGAGACUGAACCAGCCAAGCCGCGUGAGGGAGGAAGGUACAGAGUAUCGUAAACCUCUUUUGUCAGGGGACAAAGACUGGGACGCGUCCCCGGAUGAGUGUACCUGAAGAAAAAGCAUCGGCUAACUCCGUGCCAGCAGCCGCGGUAAUACGGAGGAUGCGAGCGUUAUCCGGAUUUAUUGGGUUUAAAGGGUGCGCAGGCGGAGGUGCAAGUCAGCGGUAAAAUUGCGGGGCUCAACCCCGUACUGCCGUUGAAACUGCAUCCCUUGAGUGCGCGAGAAGUAUGCGGAAUGCGUGGUGUAGCGGUGAAAUGCAUAGAUAUCACGCAGAACUCCGAUUGCGAAGGCAGCAUACCGGUGCACAACUGACGCUCAGGCACGAAAGCGUGGGUAUCGAACAGGAUUAGAUACCCUUGUA
rnacentral:rRNA from 1 species